rnacentral:rRNA from 1 species
AAAAAAGGUAAGCUACUAAGAGCGAAUGGUGGAUGCCUUGACUGGUAAAGGCGAUGAAGGACGUACUAGACUGCGAUAAGCUACGGGGAGCUGUCAAGAAGCUUUGAUCCGUAGAUUUCCGAAUGGGGCAACCCAAUGUAUAGAGAUAUACAUUACCUAUAUAGGAGCGAACGAGGGGAAUUGAAACAUCUUAGUACCCUCAGGAAAAGAAAUCAAUAGAGAUUGCGUCAGUAGCGGCGAGCGAAAGCGCAAGAGGGCAAACCCAGUGCUUGCACUGGGGGUUGUAGGACUGCAAUGUGCAAGAGGUAAGUUUAGCAGAACAUUCUGGAAAGUAUAACCAUAGAGGGUGAUAGUCCCGUAUGCGAAAAACAAACCUUAGCUAGCAGUAUCCUGAGUAGGGCGGGACACGAGGAAUCCUGUCUGAAUCCGGGUCGACCACGAUCCAACCCUAAAUACUAAUACCAGAUCGAUAGUGCACAAGUACCGUGAGGGAAAGGUGAAAAGAACUGAGGUGAUCAGAGUGAAAUAGAACCUGAAACCAUUUGCUUACAAUCAUUCAGAGCCCUAUGUAGCAAUACAGGGUGAUGGACUGCCUUUUGCAUAAUGAGCCUGCGAGUUGUGGUGUCUGGCAAGGUUAAGCAAACGCGAAGCCGUAGCGAAAGCGAGUCUGAAUAGGGCGCUUAGUCAGAUGCUGCAGACCCGAAACGAAGUGAUCUAUCCAUGAGCAAGUUGAAGCUAGUGUAAGAACUAGUGGAGGACUGAACCCAUAGGCGUUGAAAAGCCCCGGGAUGACUUGUGGAUAGGGGUGAAAGGCCAAUCAAACUUCGUGAUAGCUGGUUCUCUCCGAAAUAUAUUUAGGUAUAGCGUUGUGUCGUAAUAUAAGGGGGUAGAGCACUGAAUGGGCUAGGGCAUACACCAAUGUACCAAACCCUAUCAAACUCCGAAUACCUUAUAUGUAAUCACAGCAGUCAGGCGGCGAGUGAUAAAAUCCGUCGUCAAGAGGGAAACAACCCAGACUACCAGCUAAGGUCCCUAAAUCUUACUUAAGUGGAAAACGAUGUGAAGUUACUUAAACAACCAGGAGGUUGGCUUAGAAGCAGCCAUCCUUUAAAGAAAGCGUAAUAGCUCACUGGUCUAGUGAUUUUGCGCGGAAAAUAUAACGGGGCUAAAGUAAGUACCGAAGCUGUAGACUUGCACACAACUUAGAUUAUUUAAGUUUAGAAUAUGAGAAACUAAGUUAUAUGUUUAGUUAUAUUUUUACUGAUUUUUAUAGAGUAAAGAUAGAAAUAAAACUUAGUAAAAUCAGUAAAAAUAUUCUUAGACUAAAGUUAAGUAGUUUAAGUUGUGUGCAAGUGGUAGGAGAGCGUUCUAUUUGCGUCGAAGGUAUACCGGUAAGGAGUGCUGGAGCGAAUAGAAGUGAGCAUGCAGGCAUGAGUAGCGAUAAUU